UCUGUGCCCCACCCCCAUUUGCACGCAUGUGCUCUCUCGCUCUCUCCAAAUAAACACUAAAAAAAAUAAACAUGGGGCAGCAUGCAUGAAGGCCCUGAUGCUAAAGAGUGUCAGUGACUAUUAAAGGUGGGAUUUAGGCUCACUCCCAAAGACCAAUGCUGAGGAGGGACCUUGCAAAGGGUAAGUCAAACCCCCAGUCUCCCUGGAUACUUUGGUCCUUUGUCCUCUUUGCUCUACCUGUCACUCUCCUGCCAUCACAGUGGGCACCUGUCAGGUCACAACUACUGACCAAAGAGAAACCCAGCUCAUCACUUCUGCCCCUCCCACAGAUAAGCAGAACCCCCAGGACCACCAUCACUGUGAAUGAACAUGAAGUGAUGUUUGGUUAGGCAAGAGUCAGUGCAUGUCAGGCUAAUUUAUGAUAAUUACCAAGCCAUCGGCUGGUACCUGGACAAACUGUCUAUGAUUUUUCACCCAGCUGGCCUAGGUUCCACAAGUUCCCAAGAGGCUGUUCUUCCAGAUCCUCCAGUGCCUCACUCCCCUGUAAUGGGGUGAUAUGUCCACCAUCCUUGCCAUGUGACUUUGCAGUACCUCCCCCUAGAACAGACCAAGCAUGCCUCCCUACCAGACUGAUGUUGGGUUUGGCCGUGUGUUGGCUAGUGGAAUGUUGGUAGAACAUUUGGCAGUUAGGAGCCAAAGUCUUAAGAGCCAUCACACGUUUCCACUCGACAUCUUCUGCUGGAGUGAGCUGCCAUGUGAUGAACCUGUACGAGAGCACCUGUGGCCUCCUUAGCCCAAGCAAGCUCCAAAUCCCAGUGGAAAGCUCAGGCCUCUCCCGAAGGACCCAGGACCUCAGAAACUCUGAGCUGCUCUCCUCAACGCUUUAAUCUCUUCUUGCUGAAGCCCCCCACCCUAUUACUAAGAAACCGCUGCAGCUGCCACAGAUAGAAGAAACACAGGGACAUCAAGUUAUGAAAGGCCAACUGACUUCCAUCCUUCCUUCCGUGAAACUUCACCAAGCACCCACCUGCUACUUGAUCCAAGGAUACAAAGCCAGUGGAGAGCCCCCCUCCUCUUUACAGGGUUGUUCACAGGUUUGUGGGAGUUGAGCAGGUACGCAAAGAGCUCCAAUGGUGUGAGAUAAAGGCCUCUGCAAGCAAGCCUUUUUUGGUCAAAGAAAUGAAGAGCCGGUGCGGAAACCAGAUGUCUGGGUCUGAAGAGGCCAUCUCAGUCAUUAAUAGCACAGCAAAGGGCCACACUAGUUUGAACCCUGGAUCCUACUAUCUGGUGGCCCAGGGCAACAUAGACAAGGCUAAGUUGAUCUGCCUACAUCUGGAACAAAGGAGAUAGACCCCCAAACCAGAAAAUUACAAGUAAAAGAAAUCUCCAAUUUGGUAAAAUCCACCCUGCAGUCUCUUUGCAAAUUACUCUCUUAUCUCUCGCUCCAUUCUUUCUCUAUCAGUUCCUCUCCAGCUCCUAAAGCUUCCACUGUAAUCACAUGCUUAGUAAACUUUCCAGGUUUUUGAUAUUAGAUUAGGGCAAGGAGAGAGGCUAAUCGACUUUUCAGCUGUUGCUGUGUAAUUCUGAGUAAGUCACUGUUUUUAAUAAGGAGGGUAAAAAUCUCAGAGGCAAAAAUCUUUUUUUAAAAAAAGGGAUCAAGGAUAUAUAUUGACUCAUAGAAUAUACUAGAACUUUUCACGGCUUUGAGAGCUGGGCCAUUUAUUUUUCCUUUCAAAUGAAGUCCAAAGAGGUCAGCUGUUUAGAGUCUGAAACUCUGAGCUGGAAUCCCCAAACUCCCACGGGGUACUUGACUCCAGACCUCACCAGGUCCCUCACCUGGAAAAACAGGACUAAAAACACUGAUGUCACAGGGUCCCAGAGAGGGAUCCUGGUCAAGGCAGGUCCUCUCCUUUGUAUGGACUACACAGAUUUGCAAGGAAAAACAGAAGGCCUGUUUCAAACACCAUAAAAUACAAGGACAGACAGCCAGGGAAAGUCAGAGGUAAAAAACAAGAGAAUUAUUAAAGCCACAACUAGAAAAUCUUGGCCACCUUGCCUCAAUCCUGAGAUUAAGGCAAGAUAAGCAACAGUGAAAGAUUAUUAAUACUGGGGCUUUGUAGUUCUUUAGGGAAAAAAAAAAAAAACCACUACAUAUUAACAACCUGAACCACUGUGUACUCUACC